AUUGAACGCUGGCGGCAGGCCUAACACAUGCAAGUCGAACGGUAACAGGAAGCAGCUUGCUGCUUCGCUGACGAGUGGCGGACGGGUGAGUAACGUCUGGGAAGCUGCCUGAUGGAGGGGGAUAACUACUGGAAACGGUAGCUAAUACCGCAUAAUGUCGCAAGACCAAAGAGGGGGACCUUCGGGCCUCUUGCCAUCGGAUGUGCCCAGAUGGGAUUAGCUUGUUGGUGGGGUAACGGCUCACCAAGGCGACGAUCCCUAGCUGGUCUGAGAGGAUGACCAGCCACACUGGAACUGAGACACGGUCCAGACUCCUACGGGAGGCAGCAGUGGGGAAUAUUGCACAAUGGGCGCAAGCCUGAUGCAGCCAUGCCGCGUGUAUGAAGAAGGCCUUCGGGUUGUAAAGUACUUUCAGCGGGGAGGAAGGGAGUAAAGUUAAUACCUUUGCUCAUUGACGUUACCCGCAGAAGAAGCACCGGCUAACUCCGUG
rnacentral:rRNA from 1 species